UGCAGAAGAAGAAACAUCUCACAGGAGCAGCUUGGUUCUCAUCCUCCUAUCCCAAGAACAUGAUGGGAUCAUCAUGGCAUAGCAAUUGUGCUCCUUUUAAAUAUACAAAUGAGUGGGAAGGCUGCCAAGUUCUGUAAAUAACAUUUGCCAAGGCUUAAUUCUAGAGAUGGUAGGGAAAAUUCUUCUAUGUUGCCUGGAGAAGUAUCUUCACCCUGGAAAUAGAUCAACUUGAACAGGAAACUACAGACAAAUGGACGACAAUAAGACAAUCUUUUGGGGAGAAUCACCUGGAAAAGCUAAGAAAAACCCCAUAGAUUCUCCCAAGUUUAAGAAAAUACAUUCAUAACAAAAAUCGUGAUGCAAGGAAGCAGCAAGUGUAAAAGGUCGCAGGUGGUCACCACCACAUGGAGGUAAAUCCUUAAGAGGAAGAAGGAAAUGUGAAACAACACCAACAUGGAAACAGACCCUUAUGAAGGAUUUCAAGAAAGGUAAGUCUCACCAUCACUUCAAUCUUAAUGUGGCACAAUAGCCGCAAAGCCAUUUCCCCCCCUCAUCCCCUUUCAAACAGUGCUGGGCUAGUUUGGACAAUUGAUUGAUUGAUUGAUUAAGUGCCGUCAAGUCAGUGUGACUCUUAGCGACCACAUAGAUAAAUUCUCUCCAGGAUGAACUGUCUUUAACGUGGCCUUUAAGGUCUCACAGUGGUGCAUUCAUUGCUGUCGUAAUCCAGUCCAUCCACCUUGCUGCCAGUCGUCCUCGUCUUCUCUUUCCUUCAACUUUCCUUCAACUUGCCUCAAGUGAAAAUUCUGGAUUGAUUUGUUCUAUGACCCAUUUGUUUGUUUUCCUGGCUGUCCAUGGUAUCCUCAAAAGUCUUCUCCAGCACCGAAGUUCAAAAGCGUCAAUACUGCCUCUCAUUUUUAGCCAGCAGAUGAUGAGGGACAUCCAUGUGCAUCACCUGGAACCAGUCCUGUGAGGGAGCCAUGGCCAAUGUACUUAUGAAAGGCAUACAUUCCCAAAAUGAAUUGUUGCAUAAAUACAUUUCAUUUUUUAAUGCACACAUUGCAUUUAGAAUGUUUAGUUGCUACUGGUUUUGUUACACUGUUAUUGCUGUGGAGAGUUGAUUUGUCUUUUAUGACAGUGGCUGGCGUAUCCUACAGUGCAACACAGGUGGUGCAGACCAACCCACACAGCUGUGGGGUUCUAACACACAUGCCGACACUGUUGUGCAAGAGGGCUGUUCCAGGUACAACUUACCUUUGUGAGAUUGCAGGUCAUGUGCUACUUGUGUUGGUAAUGGUGACCUGCAAUCCAGCUGUACUGGAGUAAAUCUCUCAUGCCAUGGCAUCACCAUGUGUGACAUCAUGGGUAGCAGUGAGCAGGGGCGGGGGCAGCUGCCCACCUCAAUGGAGCCAAUACCAUUUAAUUCAAUGGGGCUUAUUCCCCUUUGUAUUCAGUCAGAGGCCCAAAAGUGUGUCAGAGACAGGUCUGCACUGCCUGCAUUAUGCUGCGGGGCAUAUCAGCCACUAUGUUUUUAUUUGUUUGCCUCCUUGGACCAUUUUUUGGGGGAAAGAUAUAAAUACUGAAAAUAAUCAAAUAUGAAACAAACACAUUUGCAGCUUGAACGUUCCCAUGAAUGUAAUUGGUAUAAUUUGGCCCAGAGAUGUGAGCUUUGGGCAGUAUAGAAAUUUGUCAAAUAAAUGUGUUAAAUAAAUAAUUGUUAUGAACAUGGUGGCUGCUAACCAUAGUUGGUUGGAGAUGUGGAACUUAUUCUGUGCUCGCUGUAUGCCUGUCAGUUUGGCCAGCUGAUCUAAGUUCCUUCCAGCUGCCAAAGGGGGAGGGAAUGAAGCAGGGACACAUGGGAGGAAAAGAUUCUUCUCCUUGAGCUUCCUGAGGCCAGCCAGGAUGCUAAUAAGGGAAAGAAUUAAUAAGGCAUGCGAGCAAGGAGAUGGUUUUCCUUAGUUGCAUCAUCUGUUCUCAGUUUCCUGCCUCUGCACAUCACAUAGAACAGCAAGCAAAAGUGAGAUGAAGAUGAUGCUUUCUUUGCUCUGGCACUAGACUGUUCCCAAGAUUACAGUGUCCCGAUAGCAGCAUUCCAGAAGUUAGUCUAACUCUACCCGU